rnacentral:rRNA from 1 species
GCAUGGGGGAACCCUGACGCAGCAACGCCGCGUGAAGGAUGAAGGUCUUCCGAUUGUAAACUUCUUUUAUUAAGGACGAAGAAAGUGACGGUACUUAAUGAAUAAGCUCCGGCUAACUACGUGCCAGCAGCCGCGGUAAUACGUAGGGAGCAAGCGUUGUCCGGAUUUACUGGGUGUAAAGGGUGCGUAGGCGGCUUUGCAAGUCAGAUGUGAAAUCUAUGGGCUCAACCCAUAGCCUGCAUUUGAAACUGCAGAGCUUGAGUGAAGUAGAGGCAGGCGGAAUUCGUGGUGUAGCGGUGAAAUGCUUAGAUAUCACGAAGAACUCCGAUUGCGAAGGCAGCCUGCUGGACUGUAACUGACGCUGAUGCUCGAAAGUGUGGGUAUCAAACAGGAUUAGAUACCCUGGUAGUCCAAGGGCGAAUUC